UUCUUUUUAUUAAAUUGUGACAAAAUUUAAGGAUGCAAAACUUUUGCGCAUAGAAUAAGUUUUAUAUGUAAAUAUGAUUUUUUUGCUGUGCAGAAAAUGGUGUCGAAGAGAGUGCUCAGCCCACAAUUAUCAGAGCUCCUAGAGAUAGAAGAAGAGUUAAUCAAAACGCAAGUGAUUUUACGAACAUUGGAGACUGGCCCACCUUAGGAACGCAAGUAGAG